GACGAACGCUGGCGGCGUGCUUAACACAUGCAAGUCGAACGAAGUGGCGAACGGGUGAGUAACGCGUAAUCAACCUGCCCUUCAGAGGGGGACAACAGUUGGAAACGACUGCUAAUACCGCAUACUGAAGGAGGGGAUUGCGUCUGAUUAGCUAGUUGGAGGGGUAACGGCCCACCAAGGCGAUGAUCAGUAGGCGGGCUGGGAGGGUGGAUGGCUACAUUGGGACUGAAACACGGCCCAGAAUGCUACGGGUGGGAGCAGUGGGGAAUCUUCCGCAAUUGACGAAAGUCUGGCGGAGCAACGCCGCGUGAGUGAUGACGGCCUUCGGGUUGUAAAGCUCUGUUAAUCGGGACGCGGUACCGGAAUAGAAAGCCACGGCUAACUACGUGCCAGCAGCCGCGGUAAUAC
rnacentral:rRNA from 1 species